rnacentral:lncRNA from 1 species
UUUUUUUUUUUUUUUUUUCUUUUUAGUGCUGCACUUGCAGUAUAUGGAAAUUCCCAGGGUAGGUUCAAACUGGAACUGCAGCUUCUGGCCUACCCCACAGCCACAGAAAUGCCAGAUCUGAGCCUUGUCCAUGACCUACACUGCAGCUUGCAGCAACCUGGAUCCUUAAUCCACUGAGAAAGGUCAGGGAUAGAACCUACAUCUUCAUGCAUACUACUUGGGUACUUAAUCCUCUGAGCCACAAGGGGAACUUUCCAGUGAUUUCUUCUAAUUCUGUUUUUCUCUUAUUAGUACCACUGAUCCUAGACUUGUCUUUAACUCCACUCUGCCAUGUUUCCCCAAAGCCAAGGCAUUAUUGACAUAUUUACUUUUCUAGUGCCUCUUAAAUUGAUGAUCUUUCUUCCUUUCUAUUAUGGUUUUUACUACCCUGAAUUCAAAUUCUUAUUACAUUAUUUUUGAAUGAUUGAAAAUACUUUCCUACUGAUUUUCCUCUUUUAAUCUUUUCUACACAAACUCGAUCUUUGCAUCCUGCCUACUCUGGAGGUCUGUUUCUAGGUUAGGAUUAGUGCAUAACAUUGCAAGCAUUGGUAUUGAGUUGUCCAGUUCUGCCAGGAAAUAGUGGGUAAAGUUGAGACUUUAUUUGCCUUUUACAUGUGCUAAAAUUCACAUUGAUAAUGCAAUAGCAAUGAUAGGUGACACUAAUGGCACCUUAGCACAUAUCAAAACAGUGGUACCUAACAGAAUCAGCAGUCAUCAUAUUCUUUGUUGUCAGAUACAGAGAAACAGCAAGUUUCACUUAAGAAUGUUUCUGAUAAAGUAAAUUAUUAAUUUUAUUAAAAUUUGACCUGUAAAUACAACUUUGUAGCACUCUGUGUAAUAAAAAGUAGAAUUAUUUAUAAAUCUCUUCUGAUGCAUACUGAAAUACAAUGGCUGUGUCAAAGAAAAACAUUUGUGCAAUUGUUUGGGAUGGAAGUUGAAGUAGUUGUUUUUCUUAUGGAGCAGAAUUUUUACUUAAAACAGUGACUGAUGAACUAUGGUUAUUCAGGCUUAGGUAUUUGACAGAUAUUUUCUUGCAAAUCAGUGGAGUAAGGCUAUCACUUCAAGGAAAACCACUGAUGUUUGUUGCCAAUGAUAAAAUUCAAUCUUUCAAGCAAAAUUUAGAAUUUUGAAAAACUUGUAUUUUUCACCAUAUGCUUAACAGCCAUAUAAUAUCUGAAAAUUUUUAUGAUGAUAUGGGUGGUGAUAUUAACAUAUGUGAUUUUCAGGUUUUAAUUUUUUUUGGCCACAGUCACAGCAUGUGGAAGUUCCUGGGCCAGGGAGCAAACCCAUGACAUAGCUGAGGUGAUUCCAGAUCCUCAACCUACUGCACCACAUGGAAACUUCCCAGAUGUGAUUUUUUUAAAAAAAUCAUUUAAUAAUAAAUGUUUACAAAAUCACAUAACUCAUUGAACUGAUGUUUUUAAAAAAGACCAAUUAAUGAGUUAACAAAAUUAUAUAUGGGUAAUAUAUCUAUUCAAAGUGCAAGGUGGGAGGCAUUCCUGUCAUGGAUCAGCGGUUAACAAACCCAACUAGCAUCUGUGAGGACGUGGGUUUGAUCCCUGGCCUCGCUCAGUGGGUUAAGGAUCCAGCAUUGCCAUGAGCUAUGGUGUAGGUCACAGACACAACUCAGAUUUGCAUUGCUGUGGCUCUGGCAUAGGCUGGCAGCUACAGAUCUGAUUGGACCCCCUAGCCUGGGAACCUCUGUGUGCCUCUGGUGUUGCCCUAAAAAGACAGAAAGACAAAAAACAAACAAACAAACAAAAACAACAAAGUGCAAGAUGGGGAGUUACUACUGUGAUGCAGCAGGUUAAGGAUCCAGCAUUGUCUCUGUGGUGACACAAGUUUGGUCCCCAGCCCAGCACAGUGGGUUAAGGAUCUGGCAUUGCUGUAGCUAUGGUGUAGGUCAUAGCUGCAGAUCAGAUUCUAUCCCUGACCUGGGAACUUCCAUUUGCCAUGGGUGUGGCCAAACACCCCCCAACCCCAAAACAAAACAAAAAACCCACAAAAUACAAGAUGGAUGAUUUUUAAUGUAACGGAAAUGAAAGUUUAUUGAUAUAGUUUCAGAUUCUUCAUCUCAAAAGGAAUUUGUAUUACCUGACAGAAAGUAGAUAUUCCUUGCAAAGAUCUUGUUUUCUUAGUUUUUUGUUUUAUGGAGAGAUCUGAGCUUCUGAAAAAUAUUUAGGGCAGAGAAGAGAGUUGAAUUCCUUUGAGGGCAGUAAAUAAGAAAAGAGGAAUUUCCCAAGACUGGGACUGAAGUUUUAUGAACUCAAGAAUGGUAGUGAUCCACACACUACUCCCUGGCAAUAUCUUCAGGAACUGGCAAGACAUCUGAGUAGAUUUGCAGUGUGGUUCUCCUAGGAAAAUUGGGCCCAGGAAAAUGGGACUCUCAGCUUUGAAAAAGAUUGUAGUGCCCAGGUUUGACAUGGAAUGAGCAGAGCUGUCUGCCUUCAGGAGCCAAGUGGACUUGAAAGUAAGAUAUCAAAGGGGAAUAUGAUAAAGGUAUAUAAGAGGAUGCUUGCAAACUCUAAAGGACUUAGGUUGAAUUUCCUUCUGGUUUGUAGAGUGGGAAUUUGGGAGUUGGAAUUAAUUCGAUUUAAAAGAAAUGAUGGGAGUUUGACAUUUCUUUACACAUGUAUGUACUUGAAAAUACAGUAUAUACAUUCUAUACCAGUUAGAAUUCUCCAAAAAACUGUGUGUAUGUGUGUAUGCGUGUGUGUGUGUGUGUGUGUGUGUGUGUGUGUGUGUGUGCAUGUGAGAGUGAGAGAGAGAGAGAAAGUGAGAGUGCAAGUGUGCCUACUUAUUUAUUAUAAGGAAUUAGCUCAUGUGAUUUUGGGAGCUAGCAUACCUGAAAUAAUGUGUGGCAGGUAGGCAGGCUGGAGGCGCAGACAGAAUUCCUUCUUUUCCGGGAAACUUUAGUUUUGCUCCGUAAAUCUUUUAUCUUUAUAAUUACUUGUCACCAUAGACAAAAUAAAAAGAAUAUCAAGGAGUUCCAGAUGUAGCUCAGCAGUAAUGAACCUGACCAGUAUUCAUGAGGAUGCAGGUUUGAUCCCUGGCCCCACUCAGUGGGUUAAGGAUCUGGCAUUGCUGUGAGCUGUGGUAUAAGUCACAGAUGCGGCUUGGAUCC